GACGAACGCUGGCGGCGUGCUUAACACAUGCAAGUCGAACGGUAAGGCCCUUCGGGGUACACGAGUGGCGAACGGGUGAGUAACACGUGGGUGAUCUGCCCUUCACUUCGGGAUAAGCCGGGGAAACUGGGUCUAAUACCGGAUAGGACCACUGCCUGCAUGGGUGGUGGUGGAAAGCUUUUGCGGUGUGGGAUGGGCCCGCGGCCGAUCAGCUUGUUGGUGGGGUGAUGGCCUACCAAGGCGACGACGGGUAGCCGGCCUGUGAGGGUGACCGACCACACUGGGACUGAGAUACGGCCCAGACUCCUACGGGAGGCAGCAGUGGGGAAUAUUGCACAAUGGGCGCAAGCCUGAUGCAGCUACGCCGCGUGAGGGAUGACGGCCUUCGGGUUGUAAACCUCUUUCAGCACCGACGAAGCGCAAGUGACGGUAGGUGCAGAAGAAGGACCGGCCAACUACGUGCCAGCCGCCGCCGUAA
rnacentral:rRNA from 1 species